rnacentral:rRNA from 1 species
UACUUAGUUAGUUGGUUAAGGUAACGGCGUUACCAAGACGAUGAUGGGUAGGGUCCUGAGAGGGAGAUCCCCCACACUGGUACUGAGACACGGACCAGACUCCUACGGGAGGCAGCAGUGAGGAAUAUUGGACAAUGGGCGCAAGCCUGAUCCAGCCAUGCCGCGUGCAGGAAGAAGCAUCUAUGGUGUGUAAACUGCUUUUGUACAGGAAGAAACACUCCCUCGUGAGGGAGCUUGACGGUACUGUAAGAAUAAGGAUCGGCUAACUCCGUG